rnacentral:tRNA from 1 species
AGUAAUUUAGGUUAUUUGACUGUUUGUUUUCAAAAUAAGAGGAGGCUUUAGGGCUGGUUACUG